GGGGCGGUAGCUCAGUUGGUUAGAGCGUCGGACUGUCGAUCCGAAGGUCGUGGGUUCGAACCCCAUCCGCCUCGCCA
rnacentral:tRNA from 1 species